GAGGGUAUAGCUCAGUGGGAGGGUGUGUGCUUAGCAUACACGAGGUCUUGUGUUCAAUCCCCAAUGCCUCCA
rnacentral:tRNA from 1 species